AAAAUCAGAGGAUAGAAAGAGGCAGCUAUCACGCCAGAAAUGGUCUUAAAAGAGAUGCAGGGAACGCCGUCCUGCCUGAUUUA
ncrna:unclassified sequences skipping-rope RNA